ACGUGACUUAAGUCACGUGUCUGCAAGGGGUGAAUACACACGGAAUUCGAACGAAUUUGAAGACAUCGAAGAACGAACCCUUUUAGUUUGAUGGACGUCCUUAUCAACUUAUGAACGUGUCGGGUCAACGUCAACAAUAACUACUUUGACCGUACCCACAUUUUACAAGGACACCAAGCUGGAGGCUACUGAGGAUGGGGAGAUGGCUUAUUUCUUAUCUUUCUCUGAGAUUGGUGGGGUGAGGGGGAUUUUUAUUUUUAGUGGGAGCGGUAUGGAGUGUCAGAUCACUUACUUUAUCAAGGAACAGAGCCUUGAAUGCAAAGAUGAAUCUGUAAGGGAGACUAGCGAAUCACAAUGAGGAAAUACAUUUUAAAAAAGUCUCUGCAAUAACAAAUGCCACCACAAGAGUCCUUAUAUGCAAGUCCCCCCACUCAGCGACCAUCUUGACUCAAGAGGCUGGGACCUGGUUUGAAGCAGUUACCCACCACACGUCUCUCCUUGUGGUUGAGCUUUCUGAUCGCUGCCUAUGUGGUCUGUCUGAGGUGCAGUUAUUAGGACAGAUGCUCAACUGGCACAUCGGAUUAGAGGAUACAUGAACUCCACCACCAGCUACUCCACUGAACUUCCAUCAGGGUCCAAUCUAAAGGAUUUUGUUUACCCUGCUCUUAUACAUGUUCCAUCUCCAUCCCGCUGCUCUGCACCCCUGACUGAACUCUGUGUACCUUAUUCAUGCAGCGGCCUUAUUCACAUGAUGGCGAUUGUAAACCAAAAUGAGGCUACAUGAUAUGACUAUUUAUAUGAUAGUUUUUCAUAACAUAUUUAGCUGCAAAAAGGACAUAGACAACAUAUCAAAAGUUGAAAAUGACAA